rnacentral:rRNA from 1 species
UGCAUAGGAAUCUACCUAGUAGUAUAGGAUAGCCACUAGAAAUGGUGGGUAAUACUGUAUAAUCCCUGCGGGGGAAAGAUUUAUCGCUACUAGAUGAGCCUAUGUCAGAUUAGCUAGUUGGUGGGGUAAUGGCCCACCAAGGCUGUGAUCUGUAGCUGGUCUGAGAGGAUGAUCAGCCACACUGGAACUGAGACACGGUCCAGACUCCUACGGGAGGCAGCAGUGGGGAAUAUUGGACAAUGGGCGCAAGCCUGAUCCAGCUAUGCCGCGUGAGUGAGGAAGGCCUUAGGGUUGUAAAACUCUUUCAGUAGGGAAGAUAAUGACGGUACCUACAGAAGAAGUCCCGGCAAACUCCGUGCCAGCAGCCGCGGUAAUACGGAGGGGGCAAGCGUUGUUCGGAAUUAUUGGGCGUAAAGGGCAUGUAGGCGGUUUGGUAAGUUAAAGGUGAAAUACCAGGGCUUAACCCUGGGGCUGCUUUUAAUACUGCAGGACUAGAGUCCGG